rnacentral:lncRNA from 1 species
AAAAGAAGGGAGCAGUUCAGCUACUUGAAGAAACCAAAUGGUAUGUUGAGGCAAAUUAAAACCAGAGAGUCAGUUGGAGAAGCCCGAAGAGUAACCCAGGUGUCGAAAUACAGACACAUCAGGAGAAAACAAUGCCAGCCUCCUGCCAGGGAUCUAUCUUAACUAAGCAUCCAAUUAUCUUUUGGCUGCAAGACUACGUUCUGAUUCCCUAUACUUCAAACUUGGUUUCUUCUUCACCCUGGAUACUUGCAGAGCCGGGCACCACUCAUGUGAUAAUGCCAGGCUGGAUUCUCUAGAAGCAGAUGCUGGGAGGCUAUUUGGGGUACAAGGUGUUCCUUAGGAAUCAACAGCUGUGUUGGGAAGGAGAGGACACAGGAUCGCACAAAGGAAGACAUCAACAGUGCUGUAGAGAGCCCUCCAGAGGGUAGCAUUUGUCAGAGUGUUCUCCAUUGGGCUGAAACACCUGGGCAUUCAUGUUCUUCUCACUCAAUCACCAGUUUCAGCUCUCAAAAAGAAACAAAGUUUGAUGGUGAACAAAAUGCAAAGAUCAGGAGGACCCAGAGCCCAGAAAGGAAUAUAGAGGGGGAAUCCCUGGGAAGAGAAGAGGGCACG